rnacentral:rRNA from 1 species
CGCGUAGGCGGUCUUUUAAGUCAGAUGUGAAAGCCCGGGGCUCAACCUCGGAAGUGCAUUUGAAACUAAGGGACUUAAGUAUGGGAGAGGGAAGUGGAAUUCCUGGUGUAGAGGUGAAAUUCGUAGAUAUCAGGAGGAACACCGGUGGCGAAGGCGACUUCCUGGACCAAUACUGACGCUGAGGCGCGAAGGCGUGGGGAGCAAACA